UCGAAGAUUGGAAAUGAAGUUCUUCCAUGGUACCGGAUACCAACGGAUUACCUAAACCGCUUGACAGCUGAUGACUUCUGCGACAAA
rnacentral:ncRNA from 2 species